rnacentral:tRNA from 1 species
GUGUGUGUGGCUCAGCUGGUAGAGUAUUUGCCUAGCAUGCAUGAGGCCCUGAGUUCAAUCCCCAGUACUACAUA